UUCCUAUCCGCCAUCUCCCCUCCCCCACGAUUCCCCUCUCACCGGAGCUCCAUGGCCACGAUGCUGCCCGCCGCCACCAAUUUCUGCUAGCUCACGCGCUCUCCCACGACGUCGCUCACCAGCCGGGCUGCCCCGCACUCCUCUCCUCUGAUCCUCCACUGCCGUGACUUCCUCCGCACUGAUCCAGAUGCCCCUGCAGCAACCCUAGCGGCCACGGGCCGCCGGUGAGACUCCCGCGUUGGCCCUCUACCCCUCAUCUCCGUAUGCGCCGGUGCUAGAUCGGGCUCGACGAUGCUGCUCGCAUCGGCUACCUUGCCUCCAACACCGACGAUUUAGUAAGGCACUUCUCUCCUCUGCUCGUACCCUCUCUAUUUCUUUGUGGUGACAUAACUUUGUUCCAUGGUUGAUUCUUUGCCAGAAAUCGCAAAUGUGAUCUACACUACCUAGUGUCAGCUGUCGUGGUGUCGUAAAUCACGGCUGGAUGACACCCCAUCAAGGUCAGUGACCUUGCUUGAGGAUCAAAAUUCACUUCACCAUUCUAGCUAGGUAUUUUUAGUUUCGUGCUUGCAUCUUCCAAUGUGCACUGCAGACUGCUAUCUAGUUCUGGACAUGCAAGCCAGUUGUUUCUAGUUUGUUUCUGUUUGCAUGUAUGGUUAAGUCCAUAUGUGUUAUUUCUGAAAGAAUGCUUGCGUCCUUUUUAUUUAUCUCAAUAGUUCGUCCAUGUUGCUGUGUGUGUGGAUGAAUCCUUUCCGGUUUCAUUGUCAUAUGUUGUGUAAUACUGUAGGAACAGGUCUCACAUGCGUCCAUCUGUCAUAAUAUUCCUCUUUAUUGUAUAUAUAAUCCUUAAUUUCAUCUUUACUUACAGGUUCUGAAACUGACUGUGCAUCCGUGAACAUGUGUGUGUUUGUUGGAUUGCAUUCUCAUCCUAGUAGUAGUUCGAUCUGCUGUGUCGAUGAAAAUCCACAGGAGGCUGCAAAAUGGUCAUGAGUUACCAAAGCUUUAUCUCCCUUAAUUAACUAAUCGCUGACUCAGUUUCAAUUGUUGACCCGCCCGCUGAGUUCAGCAUGAAGUUUUGGUUUGACGUUUUCAUUGCGGUGCUUGCAUAAUGAUGUCGUGACAGUACCGCAUAAUUAAUUAAUGAUGGUGAACAACAUCACAGCUCUUUUUGUCGUGCCCACACGCUAUGGAGACGCCGGCAUGCUCGAGCUAUGAUGGUGAAGUUACUAGAUGUAGGACCUAUGGUAUACUAUGACUGUUGACAUGUUUCAAUGAGAACUUCAGUGCUUGUGUCAGAACCCUAUUACAAAGAGAUUCCCCAAUCUGUAAAAGAAAAGGUGGAUGCAAAGCUGAAUAGUCGUGAGAUGUUUGGAGCUGGGAUGCUGAAAACUAUGUAUUGCCAAGAUGAGGACGGGGCAUCGACCCGUUGGCUGGGCAGCUGAGGUUGCUGCCAGCCCACCCGAGUUCGAGUCCUGGCACGGACGCGCGGUGCUCACGGAGUUUCUCCUAUAAAGAAUAGCCAACGAGGGUUAGCCCUUGGGUUGGUCUCAUUUUUUUAGAUUGCCAAGAUAAAAUGGAUGAUGCAUGGCUCGGACGCUGAUUGCAAUGAUGAGAAUGGGGCUGCUACUAGAUAAUUAGAAUGUCUUUUCAGGACAAUGUUUGAUACAUCAAAGUUUAUUGCAAGGUUGAGAA